rnacentral:rRNA from 1 species
UAUCUCUGUAGAGUCUGCAUAUCAAUAAGCGGAGGAAAAGAAACUAACUAGGAUUCCCUUCAGUAACGGCGAGUGAAGCGGGAAGAGCUCAAAUUUGAAAUCUUCAAGGUUCUACCUUGACGAAUUGUAGUUUAAAGAAGUGUUUUCUGUUGGAGUUUUGGUAAAAGUUCUUUGGAAUAGGACAUCAUAGAGGGUGAGAAUCCCGUAUUUGACCAUUAUUUCCAGCUUUGUGAUACACUUUCAAAGAGUCGGAUUGUUUGGGAAUGCAGUCCAAAAUGGGUGGUAAAUUUCAUCUAAAGCUAAAUAUUGGCGAGAGACCGAUAGCGAACAAGUACCGUGAGGGAAAGAUGAAAAGAACUUUGAAAAGAGAGUUAAACAGUACGUGAAAUUGUCAAAAGGGAAGCGUUUGACACCAGUGUUGUUUUCUCGAAAAUCAAUUAAAAAUGACUGGAUUUUGUGUUGUAUUGACCUUAUAAGCUUUCUGCACUCUUUUCAUGUCUUUUUUAAUGCACUUUUCGUUUAACAAGUCAACAUCAAUUUCUUUUGUUGUAGAAGGGUCAUUGGAAGGUGGCUUUCUUUUCGGAGAAAGUGUUUAUAGCCUUUGACUCCUGCAAUCGGAGAGACUGAGGUCUGCAGCGUAGAUCCUUCUUGGAUUAGAUUCAAUUGUGCUAAGUUAUAGCUUUUCAUAGACAACUUGUUGACUAUGAUCAGUCAUGUAGCUUACUCGCUUAUGCUAUUUUACCUACGCUUAGGAUGUUGAGUCAUCACACAUCUCU